GCCCUGGGGCGCUUCGCCCCGCUCCUGGCCGCCUGCGUGUGGCAGCGGCAGCCGCUCCGCCUGCGCUCCGUGCCGCGCCGCGGGGAGCCGGGAACGGGCCGGGAGGCACGGCGGGAGGAGCGCCCGGAGCGGGGCACGGCGACACCCCGGCGCACUUGGGCGGCACCACGGUGUUCGGGGAUAACGUGGAGGAUGAGUGGUUCAUCGUGUAUCUGCUCCGGGAGAUCAGCAGGGAGUUCCCGAGGCUGGCAGCCAGGUGAGGCGGGUCCUGCUGAGCUGCUUUGCUGGGAGGGCUGCCGAGGGGCAGUGCCUGGGCUCUGAAGGUCCUGUCUUAACAUUGCCCGUCCUUGGAGGUGUUUCCCCAUGCCGUACACCUGGGAAGUGUCCAAGGGCAGGUUGGGUGGGGCUUGGAGCAGCCUGGGCUAGUGGAAGGUUUGCCUGGCUGUGGCAGGCGGGUUGGAACCAGGUGUUGAUCUUUAAGUUCCCAUCUAACCUUAGACUUUCUAUGGGUGUCGCUCUUGCGCCGAGAGUAACACAGGAACAGACAGGAGGCAAUCUUGUAUUAAAGAACAAGAAGGCUUUAUUCGAGAGAACCGCGUGGUUUUAUAGAGUGUUACAACAGAUUCUAUUGGUUGGCUAACUAACAAAAACAUCUUCCUCACGCACUGUCCUUGAGAAGGAGAAAAAUAAGAAGUAGAAAAAUACCACCUGCAAAUUAUUUAUACUUAACAAGUUAUUAUGUUCUUACAACUCACUAAAAAUUCCCACAAGCCGCUGUGAGAAACGCUCGCUGUUUCUCUCUCUCUGUCCUGUGGCAUCCACAGAUGGUUUAUGAACAUGAAAAAAACUCCACCAGACAUGGAUUCAGAAGUGUGCUGUUGUGCUCUGCAAGGCUUUUCCUGCUAAGAAACCAAUUUCUCCUUGGCCAGCAUUGAUGACAAUGCUGGAGAGUUUCUCUUGAUAGAAGCAGCUGAUUUUCUCCCCAAGUGGCUGAAUGCUGAGAACAGUGAAAACAGGAGCCUGUAGCCAUCCAGGGCAGCACUCCAGCCACCUGAGUCAUCCCACCUCGUUUCUGAGAUGGCAAUUUCAUCACAGCUCUGCUCUUGGACCAUGGCCUCCUGCUCUGCUUGUGUGUUGCCCAUGCUGCGUGCCCUGGUCUCCAUGCUCCUCAGCUGGGCUGCUGAUUUCACUCCUGUCUCAGCCUUACCACCCUUGGGCCAGCUUCCAGACAGCCCAGCUGCAUCCCCUUCCCCCUUCAAUCCUGGUCUAAAGCCCUCAAGGAGUUCUGCCAGUUCAUGAGCUAAAAACCUUCUGCCCUUAACAGAGAGAGGGAGCCCAUCUGGUUCCAGCAGGCCAGGUGCCAUAGAAGCUGCCCCAUGAUCAAAGAAUCCAAAAUUCUGCCGA